rnacentral:tRNA from 1 species
GGGGAUGUAGCUCAUCUGGUAGAGCGCGCGCUUCGCAUACACUCGAUCGAUCUAGCGAUCGAUCAGGAACGUGCUGUCUGCGCGAGGUACAGGGUUCGAUUCCCUGCUUCUCCA